UUUGCCUACGGGACGCAGCAGUGGGGAAUAUUGCACAAUGGGGGAAGCCUUGAUGCAGCGACGCCGCGUGAGUGAAGAAGUAUUUCGGUAUGUAAAGCUCUAUCAGCAGGGAAGAAAAUGACGGUACCUGACUAAGAAGCCCCGGCUAACUACGUGCCAGCAGCCGCGGUAAUACGUAGGGGGCAAGCGUUAUCCGGAUUUACUGGGUGUAAAGGGGGCGCAGACGGCGAUGCAAGCCAGGAGUGAAAGCCCGGGGCCCAACCCCGGGACUGCUCUUGGAACCGCGUGGCUGGAGUGCAGGAGGG
rnacentral:rRNA from 1 species